AGAGUUUGAUCCUGGCUCAGGAUGAACGCUAGCGACAGGCUUAACACAUGCAAGUCGAGGGGCAGCGGGGGUAGCAAUACCCGCUGGCGACCGGCGCACGGGUGAGUAACGCGUAUGCAACUUACCUAUCAGAGGGGGAUAACCCGGCGAAAGUCGGACUAAUACCGCAUAAAGCAGGGAUCCCGCAUGGGAAUAUUUGCUAAAGAUUCAUCGCUGAUAGAUAGGCAUGCGUUCCAUUAGGCAGUUGGCGGGGUAACGGCCCACCAAACCGACGAUGGAUAGGGGUUCUGAGAGGAAGGUCCCCCACAUUGGUACUGAGACACGGACCAAACUCCUACGGGAGGCAGCAGUGAGGAAUAUUGGUCAAUGGGCGUAAGCCUGAACCAGCCAAGUCGCGUGAGGGAUGAAGGUUCUAUGGAUCGUAAACCUCUUUUAUAAGGGAAUAAAGUGCGGGACGUGUCCCGUUUUGUAUGUACCUUAUGAAUAAGGAUCGGCUAACUCCGUGCCAGCAGCCGCGGUAAUACGGAGGAUCCGAGCGUUAUCCGGAUUUAUUGGGUUUAAAGGGUGCGUAGGCGGCCUUUUAAGUCAGCGGUGAAAGUCUGUGGCUCAACCAUAGAAUUGCCGUUGAAACUGGGGGGCUUGAGUAUGUUUGAGGCAGGCGGAAUGCGUGGUGUAGCGGUGAAAUGCUUAGAUAUCACGCAGAACCCCGAUUGCGAAGGCAGCCUGCCAAGCCAUGACUGACGCUGAUGCACGAAAGCGUGGGGAUCAAACAGGAUUAGAUACCCUGGUAGUCCACGCAGUAAACGAUGAUCACUAGCUGUUUGCGAUACACUGUAAGCGGCACAGCGAAAGCGUUAAGUGAUCCACCUGGGGAGUACGCCGGCAACGGUGAAACUCAAAGGAAUUGACGGGGGCCCGCACAAGCGGAGGAACAUGUG
rnacentral:rRNA from 1 species